GUUAAGGCCCCUAAAUGAUUUGCUAAGUGUUAAAGGAAGUGAAAACGCAAAGAUAGCCAGGAAGUUUGCCUGGAAGCAGCCAUCUUUUAAAGAGUGCGUAAUAGCUCACUGGUUUAGUAUUUUUGCGCCUAAAAUGAAAUGGGACUAAGCAAUCUGCCGAAACUGUGGGAGAAAAAAUCUCGGUAGGAGAGCGUUGUGCAUCGGGAGAAAUACUUUGGCGAUGAUCUAUGGACGAUGCACAAGUGAUAAUGUCGGCUUGAGUAACGAAAAUGCCGGUAAGAAUCCGGCACCCCGAAAAUCCAAGGGUUUCUUCACAAGGUUCGUCCAUGAAGAGUGAGUCAGCACCUAAGGUGAGGCUGAAAAGCGUAAUCGAUUGGAAAAAAAGAGCCCUUGCUCGGUACCCCGUAAAAAAGGGAUCAAGAAACCAGUAAGGAGUUUCUUUACUAAACUCAUCAUGAAGCACAAUCUCUUUGCCAAAGUAUGCACCACGUGCAUACUUUGAAGUGAGGUUGUGCGACAACGUUUAACAGAGGAACGAAUACUUACCCUAGCGAUUUUAGGCAUUGAGUAGGGUUACUGGAUCAAAUCAAAUCUUCGUUUUUUCAUUUGGUUGGAAAAGGUAAUAAGAAAAAUGUUUACGUAAGUAAACUAAACAG
rnacentral:rRNA from 1 species